rnacentral:rRNA from 1 species
AUUGAACGCUGGCGGCAGGCCUAACACAUGCAAGUCGAGCGAGUGGCGGACGGGUGAGUAAUGUCUGGGAAACUGCCCGAUGGAGGGGGAUAAAUACUGGAAACGGUAGCUAAUACCGCAUACCAUCGGAUGUGCCCAGAUGGGAUUAGCGAGUAGGUGGGGUAAAGGCCCACCUAGGCGACGAUCCCUAGCUGGUCUGAGAGGAUGACCAGCCACACUGGAAAUGAGACACGGUCCAGACUCCUACGGGAGGCAGCAGUGGGGAAUAUUGCACAAUGGGCGCAAGCCUGAUGCAGCCAUGCCGCGGGUAUGAAGAAGGCCUUCGGGUUGUAAAGUACUUUCAGCGGGGAGGCGUUACCCGCAGAAGAAGCACCGGCUAACUCCGUGCCAGCAGCCGCGGUAAUUC